GGGCCUGUGGCGCAGUUGGUAGCGCGCCUCGUUCGCAUCGAGGAGGUCAGGGGUUCGAAUCCCCUCAGGUCCACCC
rnacentral:tRNA from 2 species